ACGUUGCUAAUUGCCGAGGUCCUCUUCUAGGAUUGGUUGUCCACUCAUAACCAUAAGAUAAUUAAAACGGGGGGGGGCAGGGUAAAAAAAAAACCCUUUUAUCAGCCAUAGGUUAAUGCAAGUGUUUAACAGAUGCUUCGCUAUUAAAAUAUUUCCCCCCAAUACUGAAGAAUCUUAAACCAGCAACCCUAACAGAGAUUGCGAAGAUUUUCAAAGUGGGGCACCUCGAUUUCUCGAAUCUGUGGUGUGGCGAAUAUCCGUGUUCCUCCUGCUUAACUAGCCUGUUUGAAGGCACAGUUCAUUCUCGAGCAAUUCGUCACCUCCUGGGGGUCUUCUCUUCCCGUCUACAGGAGAGUGUGACUUCAGAAAGAACUUCGGAUUGGCCAAGGCCAUUAAAGCUGGUGAGCGACUUGGAAGUCAUUUAGAAAGGAACAGACCUUCAACCUCAAGCCUUUGCGGGCACUGGGAAAGUGUCUUCCCAAUCAAUCUGGCUUGCAGGCGGCAGGACCAACUCUGACCUGGCUUAUCUUGUACCCAUCCUAAAUACACCAAACUCAAGAGGUAGCCAGGGCCGCCUCAACACCGAGGUCUGAUUCUAUUUAUUCUAAAGACAGAGUUGGAGAUGGGCUACCAUUGGUGUUGAUUGAGAUGACAAGCAGUCACCUGAGCCCAUACAGCUGGGUUCACAGAUGUGGCUAGUCUUGCUAGCCAGCUCGCACUGUGGACAUUCUAGGGAACUGACUGCAGUCCUCAUGCUUGGAGUCAAACACUUUAACCACUGCACACGUUUAUGUAAUAGGAUUGACAUAUGAGAAUCAGAGAAAUGAAUGAAAGAUUAGAGUGGGAGAAAGUGCUUGCUGCCAAGCUUGAUGACCUAAAUUGAAUACCUGGAACCUACACGACAGAAAGAGAGAGCUGACUGCUGAAAGAUGUCCUCAGAUCUUCACAUGUGCACAGUGGCACCUAUCCAACCAUGCACAUAGUAUAUUAAAAAUUAUUUUUUAAAAAAUCCA
rnacentral:lncRNA from 1 species